rnacentral:lncRNA from 1 species
CGAUGUUGAACGUUAUGCGACAGUGCUUUUAAAUUGCAAAAUUCUGACCUUGAGAACUUGCUAUGAAUUCGAACCUGAGGCGCUUCGUGUGCUUGGUAAGAUACACCAGAAACCAAUUGUUCCACUUGGGUUGUUGCCACCAUCACUGUCGAACAUAGAAGAUAAAGGAGAUGAGAAUUGGAAAGCAUUGAAGAAAUGGCUUGAUAGUAAGCAAGAGAAGUCGGUUUUCUACGUUGCACUCGGUAGCGAGGUGAGUCUAAGUCAACAGUCCAUGCACGAGUUGGCAUUUGGGAUAGAGAAGUCCGGGUUACCAUUUAUUUGGGUUGUGAGGAAACCCCCUUUAGUUGAAGAACAGUUUGCAGAGGUCAU